rnacentral:sRNA from 1 species
UCGAAGAGUUAUUAUGAAAAUAUUUAUUUAAAUAUUUUUAAACAAAUAAUAACGUCAAACUUGUUCAUAUAACAAAUGUAUAUACGGUGGCUUUUUAAAUUUUUUAUUUUAAAAGUGUCAA